rnacentral:rRNA from 1 species
AGUGAACGCUGGCGGUAGGCCUAACACAUGCAAGUCGAACGGCAGCACAGUAAGAGCUUGCUCUUACGGGUGGCGAGUGGCGGACGGGUGAGGAAUACAUCGGAAUCUACUUUUUCGUGGGGGAUAACGUAGGGAAACUUACGCUAAUACCGCAUACGACCUACGGGUGAAAGCAGGGGAUCUUCGGACCUUGCGCGAUUGAAUGAGCCGAUGUCGGAUUAGCUAGUUGGCGGGGUAAAGGCCCACCAAGGCGACGAUACGUAGCUGGUCUGAGAGGAUGAUCAGCCACAUUGGAACGGAGACACGGUCCAGACUCCUACGGGAGGCAGCAGUGGGGAAUAUUGGACAAUGGGCGCAAGCCUGAUCCAGCCAUACCGCGUGGGUGAAGAAGGCCUUCGGGUUGUAAAGCCCUUUUGUUGGGAAAGAAAAGCAGCAGGUUAAUACCCCGCUGUUCUGACGGUACCCAAAGAAUAAGCACCGGCUAACUUCGUG